UUGUGUGAGGUGCGUACGUGUGGGGUACGCGCGACGAAUUUUCAACAUGGUCGCUCGCGUGUAUCUUUGGUAUGGCGUUGGUUUAAUGUCAACAGUAGCGUGUUGUUGAAAUAGCUAACUAAUUGUUAAUCACUAUAAUUUUAUUUAGUAGUGUUUCUGUAAUAUUGUUUUGUGUUUCAUGAUAUUGUGUGUGUCAAUACCGUGUGCUACUUUAAUGUGAUAGCAUUUAUUGUGUUGUUAUCGAAUUUCAAUAGUCAUUGUUUUGAUUAUACGUGACUUGCUUUAGUCUUAUUCUGCUCUUUCGAUGCUGCGUCACUUACCUGGAUCGUUCCCGUAACAUCAUCCGAUUCUUUGAUAUGCCUUGGAUACUUACUACAGCUGUCUUCUAUUACGGCUGCCUUCUACUACAGCUGCCUUCAAUCGUCUUAUAUCUGUGGUCAUAAAGGUGGUGUUUAAUUUAUUUAAUUUAAUAUAUGUAUAAUGCAUUGUAUGUGCGACCGCUAUUGUGCAUUACAAAAUAACAUAACAAUACUACGUAGAUUAAUACAUAA